GGAGUAGGCGAGGCGGUUGCUCCUUCUUCUCGUAAAGAGUGAAGGGGAGGAAAGUCCGAACUCCAUAGGGCAGGAUGGUCGCUAACAGCGACUCCGAGCGAUCGGAGGAAAGUGCCACAGAAAACACACCGCCUCCAGAGAUGGGUGUCUCACCCAUCUUCUGAGGUAAGGGUGAAAAGGUGAGGUAAGAGCUCACCGUCCUGAUGGCGACAUCAGGGGCUUGGUAAACCCCAUCCGGAGAAAGACCAAAUUGGCCCUGAACGAGAUGGCCCGUCUCAUGGGGCGGGUAGGUCGAUCGAUCCCUUGAGCAAUCAAGGGGUAAGAUAAAUAACCGCCCCCGCCUUCGGUGGGAACAGAAUUCGGCUUACGUCCUGCUCCAGCC
rnacentral:RNase_P_RNA from 1 species